UAGGACUAUACGGUCCUUUCGGAUAUAUUUUCACUAGCUCCACUGGCCCGUAUAGUUUUACU
rnacentral:pre_miRNA from 1 species